rnacentral:rRNA from 1 species
GAUGAACGCUGGCGGCGUGCCUAAUACAUGCAAGUCGAGCGAACAGACGAGGAUCUUGCUCCUCUGACGUUAGCGGCGGACGGGAGAGUAACACGUGGAUAACCUACCUAUAAGACUGGGAUAACUUCGGGAAACCGGAGCUAAUACCGGAUAAUAUAUUGAACCGCAUGGUUCAAUAGUGAAAGACGGUUUUGCUGUCACUUACAGAUGGAUCCGCGCCGCAUUAGCUAGUUGGUAAGGUAACGGCUUACCAAGGCAACGAUGCGUAGCCGACCUGAGAGUGUGAUCGGCCACACUGGAACUGAGACACGGUCCAGACUCCUACGGGAGGCAGCAGUAGGGAAUCUUCCGCAAUGCGCUAAAGCCUGAUGGAGCAACGCCGCGUGAGUGAUGAAGGUCUUCGGAUCGUAAAACUCUGUUAUUAGGGAAGAACAAAUGUGUAAGUAACUAUGCACGUCUUGACGGUACCUAAUCAGAAAGCCACGGCUAACUACGUG